UUUCCUUCCUCCAAGGCCGCAACCGUUGCUGCAGCCGCACAGGCACCUCCGACGCGCGUGACAUCAUAACCACAGAAGCACAGGCCACAUGCACAGGCGCCAUCUCCACCC
rnacentral:lncRNA from 1 species